AUGGCGUCAUCGCCCUACUUGAACCAGAUGCCCUCACCAACCUCCAUGCAAUUGAAGAUGAUGGAGAACAUUGUCUGCGGCAUUCGAAAAGGAAGAGGAAAGGCCUAUUGAGGAUGGAAUCGAAUCCAAUGAGAGGCCAUCCACUUCUAAAUCACAGCUUGCCUCUUUAAGAUUCUCCCUGGAAUUAUAAUGAAACGCUCUACUUGGCAGUGUGAAAUCCAAUCUCAUCUUUUGCAUUCCUAUAGCUUCCAGUCAAAGACUUAUAUAAAAUCUAUCUAGUAAAGCAAAUACACAAAGCAGACUUGGAAAUGGUCCACCUUAGGCAAAAGAUGCAAAAGGAUGCUUUGGAGUGUGUGUGUUAAAGUUAAAGGUGGGUGAGGUGCAAACUGGGAUACUGUUCCCUGUUCUAAAAACAUACCCAAUAUGAAUGACUUUUUUUGUG